GGCGGUGUGAUGGAAUUGGUAGACGUGAGGGAUUCAAAAUCCCUUGUCCGCAAGGACGUGCCGGUUCGACUCCGGCCACCGCUACCA
rnacentral:tRNA from 1 species